rnacentral:rRNA from 1 species
GCGAAUGGCUCAUUAAAUCAGUUAUCGUUUAUUUGAUAGUACCUUACUACUUGGAUAACCGUGGUAAUUCUAGAGCUAAUACAUGCUGAAAACCCCAACUUCGGGAGGGGUGUAUUUAUUAGAUAAAAAACCAACGCCCUUCGGGGCUUUUUGGUGAUUCAUGAUAACUUUACGGAUCGCAUGGCCUUGCGCCGGCGACGGUUCAUUCAAAUUUCUGCCCUAUCAACUUUCGAUGGUAAGGUAUUGGCUUACCAUGGUUUCAACGGGUAACGGGGAAUUAGGGUUCGAUUCCGGAGAGGGAGCCUGAGAAACGGCUACCACAUCCAAGGAAGGCAGCAGGCGCGCAAAUUACCCAAUCCCGACACGGGGAGGUAGUGACAAUAAAUACUGAUACAGGGCUCUUUUGGGUCUUGUAAUUGGAAUGAGUACAAUUUAAACCUCUUAACGAGGAACAAUUGGAGGGCAAGUCUGGUGCCAGCAGCCGCGGUAAUUCCAGCUCCAAUAGCGUAUAUUAAAGUUGUUGCAGUUAAAAAGCUCGUAGUUGAACCUUGGGUCUGGCUGGCAGGUCCGCCUCACCGCGUGUACUUGUCCGGCCGGGCCUUCCUUCUGGAGAACCUCAUGCCCUUCACUGGGCGUGUUGGGGACCAGGACUUUUACUUUGAAAAAAUUAGAGUGUUCAAAGCAGGCCUUUGCUCGAAUACGUUAGCAUGGAAUAAUAGAAUAGGACGUGCGGUCCUAUUUUGUUGGUUUCUAGGACCGCCGUAAUGAUUAAUAGGGACAGUCGGGGGCAUCAGUAUUCAAUUGUCAGAGGUGAAAUUCUUGGAUUUAUUGAAGACUAACUACUGCGAAAGCAUUUGCCAAGGAUGUUUUCAUUAAUCAGUGAACGAAAGUUAGGGGAUCGAAGACGAUCAGAUACCGUCGUAGUCUUAACCG